GAUGAACGCUAGCGGCAGGCUUAACACAUGCAAGUCGAGGGGUAGAGGCUUUCGGGCCUUGAGACCGGCGCACGGGUGCGUAACGCGUAUGCAAUCUGCCUUUCACAGAGGGAUAGCCCAGAGAAAUUUGGAUUAAUACCUCAUAGCAUAACACAACCGCAUGGUUGAGUUAUUAAAGUCACAACGGUGAAAGAUGAGCAUGCGUCCCAUUAGUUAGUUGGUAAGGUAACGGCUUACCAAGACUUCGAUGGGUAGGGGUCCUGAGAGGGAGAUCCCCCCCAGUGGUACUGAGACACGGACCAGACUCCUACGGGAGGCAGCAGUGAGGAAUAUUGGUCAAUGGGCGCAAGCCUGAACCAGCCAUGCCGCGUGCAGGAUGACGGUCCUAUGGAUUGUAAACUGCUUUUGUACGAGAAGAAACACUCCUUCGUGAAGGAGCUUGACGGUAUCGUAAGAAUAAGGAUCGGCUAACUCCGUGCCAGCCGCCGCCGUAA
rnacentral:rRNA from 1 species